UACGUAGGGGGCAAGCGUUGUCCGGAAUCAUUGGGCGUAAAGAGCGCGCAGGCGGUCGUGCAAGUCGCGUGUGAAAGCCCCGGCUCAACUGGGGAGGGUCACGCGAUACUGCUCGACUGGAAGGCAGGAGAGGGAAGUGGAAUUCCCGGUGUAGUGGUGAAAUGCGUAGAUAUCGGGAGGAACACCAGUGGCGAAGGCGACUUCCUGGCCUGUUCUUGACGCUGAGGCGCGAAAGCUAGGGUAGCAAACGGG
rnacentral:rRNA from 1 species